rnacentral:lncRNA from 1 species
GCAAGAAGGAGGCGGCGGCGGCAGCGGCCGGAGCUGGAGGGGGAGGAGGGGAGGAACCUGAUCCUCCGGUAGCGAAGGGCUGGAGGCAAACACCGACCUCCCCCAGAGCAGCCCGGGAGUAGGGAGGGCUGUGCUACCCCGAGGGGCCCUCCCGGCGGGCAGAGGAAUUCAAUGCCCAGACUCUGAACAGUGUUUUGGUGUCACCCACACAUGCAUUCCUCCUGACUCUCCAGAAGCUACUGGACUCAUAACUCAUACCUGAGACCAUGAGAAUUGGAAUAAAAUUUUCUUGGUGGAUAUCCACAGUAGCUCAAGAACUGCAAUAAACCCUGAUAUUAACAACUGAAAGGCCAGGGAUUUAGCUCAGCGGUUCCGGCACCUGCCUUGCAAGCCCAAGGUCCCAAGUUUGAUCCCUGGUACCAAAAAAAAAUUGAAAAUAUUUUAACAUCUGGUUUAUCUGCAAUACUACAGAAUCUCACUGCAUUGUCCAGGUUGUCCUUGAACUUGAGAUCCUCAUCCCUCAGCCUCUGGAAUAACUGUGACUAACGUUGUGCAUCACCACACCCAGCUUUAUUUACUUAUUUCAAAAUACUUCAGUAUUUUGCUUUUGUAAUUUAGAAAAUAUUUUAUUUUUUAAAAAUUUAUAUUAG